rnacentral:rRNA from 1 species
AACAAACGCUGGCGGCAGGCUUAACACAUGCAAGUCGAGCGCCCCGCAAGGGGAGCGGCAGACGGGUGAGUAACGCGUGGGAAUCUACCCAUCUCUACGGAAUAACGCAUGGAAACGUGUGCUAAUACCGUAUACGUCCUUCGGGAGCAAGAUUUAUCGGCGAUGGAUGAGCCCGCGUUGGAUUAGCUAGUUGGUGGGGUAAAGGCCUACCAAGGCGACGAUCCAUAGCUGGUCUGAGAGGAUGAUCAGCCACACUGGGACUGAGACACGGCCCAGACUCCUACGGGAGGCAGCAGUGGGGAAUAUUGGACAAUGGGCGCAAGCCUGAUCCAGCCAUGCCGCGUGAGUGAUGAAGGCCCUAGGGUUGUAAAGCUCUUUCACCGGUGAAGAUAAUGACGGUAACCGGAGAAGAAGCCCCGGCUAACUUCGUGCCAGCCGCCGCAGUAAUAC